GAUGAACGCUGGCGGCGUGCCUAAUACAUGCAAGUCGAGCGAACAGACGAGGAGCUUGCUCCUCUGACGUUAGCGGCGGACGGGUGAGUAACACGUGGAUAACCUACCUAUAAGACUGGGAUAACUUCGGGAAACCGGAGCUAAUACCGGAUAAUAUAUUGAACCGCAUGGUUCAAUAGUGAAAGACGGUUUUGCUGUCACUUAUAGAUGGAUCCGCGCCGCAUUAGCUAGUUGGUAAGGUAACGGCUUACCAAGGCAACGAUGCGUAGCCGACCUGAGAGGGUGAUCGGCCCCACUGGAACUGAGACACGGUCCAGACUCCUACGGGAGGCAGCAGUAGGGAAUCUUCCGCAAAGGGCGAAAGCCUGACGGAGCAACGCCGCGUGAGUGAUGAAGGUCUUCGGAUCGUAAAACUCUGUUAUUAGGGAAGAACAAAUGUGUAAGUAACUAUGCACGUCUUGACGGUACCUAAUCAGAAAGCCACGGCUAACUACGUG
rnacentral:rRNA from 1 species